UACGGGGGGAGCAAGCGUUGUUCGGAUUUACUGGGCGUAAAGGGCGCGUAGGCGGUCGUGACAAGUCACUUGUGAAAUCUCCGGGCUUAACUCGGAACGGUCAAGUGAUACUGUCGGACUAGAGUACAGAAGGGGCAACUGGGAUUCUCGGUGUAGCGGUGAAAUGCGUAGAUAUCAAGAGGAACACCUGAGGUGAAGACGGGUUGCUGGGCUGAUACUGACGCUGAGGCGCGAAAGCUAGGGUAGCAAACGGG
rnacentral:rRNA from 1 species